UUUCCAAAGAAACGUGAUGGAGGCAAUGGAGAAUGGCUGCAAGCAGCUUGGUUACACUAUUCUGAGCUUUGGAGAGCCAGAAGAGAUUGUGGCAUUUUCCGAAGUGGGAUCCGAGGAUGCUGUUCUGGCAGUUCUGCAGUUUGUAGCAAAGCGCUGCAAGGAGCCCAUAGAUAGCAUCAUUACGCAGGAAGAAGCCCCGCUGACCCCGUGUCUGGUGCAGGAUGAAGGAUUUGCACUGCACAUCGACAAGCAACUAGUGUUUCAAGUCUCCUCGCUGCUUUCGGGAGUAGCCUGCCUCUUUGCAUCCUUUUGGGUGUUUUAUGUGGAAUACCCACGAAAGGCGCACAAAAUGUUAACAUUCAUAGAACAUGCAUUUCUGAACUUAACGCACACAAAGCCGCGCGUCAAAGCUCUUCAACUAAUCAAUUUUUUCAGAGGCCAUGCAGACUCCCUGGAAGAGCCAUAGGCUACUAACCAGUGGCCACACUCAUGGCCUAAUAAACUUCUUUGCAGCCGAUUCUUGUGUAGUUUCACAGCCCAAAUGAUGCUUUGGUCCAAGGGCUGGGCAAUCUGAUGUGUUAGGAAGCAGAAAUGCUAACUUCGCAGCUGCAAAGUUAUCUAGUGUGGUGUGCGCCGAUGCAUUUAGGAUAACUGCAAUUCUGUUCUUCGCUGCAACAUAGUGGUCAGUGAGGCGCAUGUACGCCUCAAAAAGCUUUGCAGUCCAUGCUUUUGUAUUGCUGCAGUAGACAA